GGGCAAUUAGCUCAGUUGGUUAGAGCGCAACACUGAUAAUGUUGAGGUCGGAGGUUCGAAUCCUCCAUUGCCCACCU
rnacentral:tRNA from 2 species